rnacentral:rRNA from 1 species
AGAGUUUGAUCCUGGCUCAGGAUGAACGCUAGCGGUGCGCUUAACACAUGCAAGUCGAGCGAUCGAGCCAGUCAGAUUAACUUUCGGGUUUUGAUGAUUGGUAACGGAGCGGCGGACUGGUGAGUAACACGUGGUCAACCUACGCUCUUGACGGGGACAACCUUCCGAAAGGAAGGCUAAUACCCGAUGUUGUGCAAGCUCGGUGGAGCUUGUUCCAAAGACGGUCCUGCCGUCGCAAGGGGAGGGGACUGCGGCCUAUUAGCUUGUUGGUAGGGUAACUGCCUACCAAGGCUAUGAUGGGUAGCUGGUCUGAGAGGACGACCAGCCACAUUGGGACUGAGAUACGGCCCAGACUCCUACGGGAGGCAGCAGUGGGGAAUCUUUCGCAAUGGACGAAAGUCUGACGGAGCGACACCGCGUGGGGGAUGAAGGCUCUCGGGUUGUAAACCCCUUUUCUGAGGAAAGAAUAAGGAUGGGAGGAAAUGCCCAUCCGAUGACGGUACUUCAGGAAUAAGCAUCGGCUAACUUCGUGCCAGCAGCCGCGGUAAGACGAAGGAUGCAAGCGUUAUCCGGAAUUACUGGGCGUAAAGGGCGUCUAGGCGGUUGGGUAAGUCAUCUGUGAAAGCCCUCAGCUCAACUGAGGAAGGUCAGGUGAAACUGCU